rnacentral:snRNA from 1 species
AGCUUUGCGCUGUGGCAGUAUCAUAGCCAAUGAGGUUUAUCCGAGGUAUGAUUAUUGCUAAUUGAAAACCUUUAAGCAAACCUAGAUGUGAGAAAUCCCUCAAGGAAUUCUCGCCCCGAUUUACAAAGGGAUUCACCGCAGAUCUCUUUAUUUUUUUUAAUUAUUUUUAAUG